CGCAUUUGAGUCUCGGCCACCCUCCACAGCAAGGAGCUCGGCCAAGGGAGCAAGCAGCGCUACUGGUUUCUUGAGGCCGGAUCGUGUAAGAUGGUGCACCAUGGCGUGCGGCGGCCUAUUCUGUCAUAGUGGGUUAUGAUAUUUCCAAGGAAAUAUACUGACCCUGAUGUGGCUAAGGUGAUUUGAUUUUCAGAAGUUGGAAGAGGAAGACGAUGAAGCAUGGUGUUUUUCUAUCAAUCUUCUUCUUGUUCUGGUUGUACUCUGUAGCUAGUUAUAUUGUAAUCGGUAUUAGUCAGCACAUCU